rnacentral:lncRNA from 1 species
UCCAGGACACUUUCUGGGCUCUAUUUAGAUGAUCAGUCAACACAAGGGAAAUACUUGAGUUACUUCUAACAGGGGUCUAUUCGUCAGUCAAAACGUUAAUCUUGAAGGAGCAAAGGUUUGUUCAUGAGCUGUCAUGCUCGCUAGGCAAAGCCCACGUGUUUUGAAAAAAUAAAUGAAAAAAAAAACGAAAAAAAUUAAAAUUAAAAUUAAAAUAUAAAUAAAUAAAUAGAUAAAUAAAUAAAUAAAUAAAAGAAAAAUCUUGGACUUGGACCUCUC